GAGCGGUUGCCGUCGGUUACGUCGGUCUCCAUCCCUGGGCAUGGCACCCUGCAGGGCGUUGCCGUGGAAACGGCGCUGGGCUCAGACAAGAGGACAGUCAUUCAGUUUCUGGGAGUCCCAUACGCCCGUCGACCAAUAGGAUCGCUUCGCUUUGAAGCAGCUCAGGCCGCUGAUUGGACGGGAACUUGGGACGCCACCAAACCCCGUCCCAGCUGUCUCCAGCCAGGUGAUGAGGCGUCUGCAGCCUCCAGUGAAGACUGUCUCUACCUCAACGUCUUCAGUCCUGCUGGUCUGAGGGGGCGUGUCCCAACCCUGGUGUUCUUCUUCAACCCUUCGGCCAAUCAGAAGCCAGGACUGUUGGAUGGCUCCGCCCUCGCUGCUGUAGGUAACAUCGUCGUGGUAACGGCCGGCUACAGGACGGCGGCGCUGGGAUUCCUGAGC